rnacentral:rRNA from 1 species
GACGAACGCUGGCGGCGUGCUUAACACAUGCAAGUCGAACGAUGAAGCCGGAGCUUGCUCUGGUGAAUUAGUGGCGAACGGGUGAGUAACACGUGAGUAACCUGCCCUUGACUCUGGGAUAACUGCGGGAAACUGUAGCUAAUACCGGAUACGACCCUCGGAGGCAUCUCCUGGGGGUGGAAAGAAUUUCGGUCAAGGAUGGACUCGCGGCCUAGCAGCUAGUUGGUGAGGUAAAGGCUCACCAAGGCGACGACGGGUAGCCGGCCUGAGAGGGUGACCGGCCACACUGGGACUGAGACACGGCCCAGACUGCUACGGGAGGCAGCAGUGGGGAAUAUUGCACAAUGGGCGCAAGCCUGAUGCAGCAACGCCGCGUGAGGGAUGACGGCCUUCGGGUUGUAAACCUCUUUUAGCAGGGAAGAAGCGAAAGUGACGGUACCUGCAGAAAAAGCACCGGCUAACUACGUGCCAGCCGCCAGCGUUC